AUUAAAGAUUGAGAUUAAAUGCAAAUUAUGAUGGCAAUUACCUAAAAUCACUUUUUGCUCUUUCCUGUGGAACAAGCAUUUUCAGCUCAAUACAAAUACAGAGACAGAAAAUUAACUGACUACACUAUAUAUAAAAAUUAAAAAUACUGUCUUGCAAACUCCAGUUACUCAAUUAUGCAUUUUACUCUCACAGCAUUUAAACACUGCCUAUACUGUAUAUGAGUUGGCUGGACAGUAAGCUUUAAUAGAAGUAUUUUUAAAUAGAAGAAAAAUGAGUCUCUUCUCUCUUACUCCCUUUUGCGUUGUUGAUUUUUUUUUACUUGUUACUUUGCUAGGGUUCUCAACAUUGUUGACCUCUACAAAUCUGUAUGGUUUUUUUUGUUGUUGUUUUUUGUUGUUGUUCUUUUUGUUUUUCCAAUAAAGUGGCUAGUGUUAACUCAAAAUCCAUUGUUUUCUUCAUUUCUCUUAAAAAUUGCCUUAGUCUCAAACAGAGAAAUAAUCAAGAAAACUAAUUACAAGCUACUCUAUGACUAAAGUAUGCAUCUGCUCCUUUCCUCUUUAGUCUCUGUCUAGUCUAACUGGUUUCUGCUCUUUACAGUGGAAUAAGCAUUUUUCAAAAUCAAUAUAAAUAUUUAGACAAAAGAAAAUGAUCUGCAACAUACUUUUAAAAUUAACAUGUUUUUUAGAUUAAAGUUACAGUUUGCAGGGUACAUCAAUUUACAAACUGGUGAAUGAAUAUGAAAUCAGAAUAUUUAAGCUAUGAUAAAGCUGUAUAAAUCUGAAGCCAAAAACUUUGGAGCUUCAGGAAUUGAAGUUUGGCAUCUGGUUACAGCAUACAAGCCAAAUUUUGCUUCCUGGCUCUUUGCUUUUUUUCAAGUGGUAUGUUUUCAAGAGUUCUGAAUAACUCUAAAGUGAAUGCUUCAUUAGAUAGCAAUGUUAGCUAAUAAAGUCACAGUGUCUGCCCAACAAAGUCAAACUGAUAGAGAUGGCAUAUAAAAAAGAAUAUAUUCAAAAAAAAUCCUCUCUAAAAUAGUAUUUUACUAAGAAAGAAUUCCUUCAUCAACAAGACCUAUUUGCAAAGAGGAAAAUGAAAACAAAACUUUUAAUAUCAAAGAAUCAUUAAGGUUGGAAAAGACCUCCAAGAUCAUCUGGUCCAACCGUCCCCCUACUACUAUACGCAUGUAUGUUUGAGGAAGAACUAUCAAUUUAACCCUGUGUCAGGCUGAUGGUUGGAUUUGAUGAUCUUCAAGGUCUUUUCCAACCUAAAUGUUUCUAUGAUUCUAUGAAUAAACUC